rnacentral:tRNA from 1 species
GCAUUGGUGGUUCAGUGUUAGAAGUCUCGCCUGCCACGCGGGAGACCCGGGUCCGAUUCCCGGCCAAUGCA